rnacentral:tRNA from 2 species
CAAAAGAUAGUUUAAAUAAAAUUUUAAUUUUGGAAAUUAAAGAUAUAGGAAUUUUCUAUUUUUUUGA